rnacentral:rRNA from 1 species
UACGAAGGAUUCGAGCGUUAUCCGGAUUUAUUGGGUUUAAAGGGUGCGUAGGUGGAUUAAUAAGUCAGUGGUGAAAGCCCAGAGCUCAACUCUGGAACUGCCAUUGAUACUGUUAAUCUUGAGUACAGUUGAGGUGGGCGGAAUGUGUCAUGUAGCGGUGAAAUGCUUAGAUAUGACACAGAACACCGAUUGCGAAGGCAGCUCACUAAGCUGUAACUGACACUGAGGCACGAAAGCGUGGGGAGCAAGCAGG